UACGAACUGUGCAAACGUUAUUCGGAAUCACUGGGCUUAAAGGGUGCGUAGGCGGCUUGUUAAGUAGGGUGUGAAAUCCCCCCGGCUCAACCGGGGAAUUGCGCCCUAAACUGGCGAGCUGGAGUGAGAUAGGGGUGUGUGGAACUUCCAGGUGGAGCGGUUGAAAUGUGUUGAUAUUGGAAGGAACGCCAGUGGCGAAAGCGACACACUGGGUCUCAAACUGACGCUGGAGGCACGAAAGCCAGGGGAGCAAACGGG
rnacentral:rRNA from 1 species